rnacentral:lncRNA from 1 species
CGGGACAGAGAGGAGGAACCCAAGAGGUGGAAACAAGAGUGACCGAAGAGGGGGAGAUUAAGAACGCUGCGCCAGCCAACAAGCGAUGUGAGCACUGGACAAGUACCACCAUAGUCCUGUCGAGAAACGGAGAUCCAGCGGGAUCUUCGCAGGAUCAACACGUAUACUCAGCUCUGCCUAAACCCCAGAACGGUGUCUGCAGGCUUUUCAGCAAACAUCUCUUGGCACGCAGCGCAAGGAGCAGAUAUCUGGUCUCCGAAAAAACUUUUGGAAAUUUCAGCUGUAUUCCGCGGGUGCAGCAUUCCGAGGUAUGCUGAUCUCCACGCUGCUUGGUCCUGACUCUGUGCAGAUGAAGACUUCAAGCGCUGGCGGAACAGGAAUACCUACCAAUACCGGUACAUGUGUUUGAAAAGGCUUCACUAACUUCUGUUUUCCGUGAGGUCGCGCGAUUCAUUGGACAGAGAACCGCCAAGCAGGGACGGAAGAAGAAGCACACUUGCCUAUUUCUGUACAGUCUGUUUUUCCCGUCGAAUUUAACUUGUGACAACGGAUCCUGCUACCACCGGAGUUGGAAAAGUGAAGCAUCUCACACAUGAGGCCUCUGAAACUCCAGGAAAACUACAGAACACAAAAUUCACAAUUCUCCCGGGGGUGAAGAAGGUUGUGAACCGAUAGUUUUGUCAUAUAUCAUUCGUGUUGCCGUACAAAGAGUGUCCGGUGCUGUCAGUUGUUUCCCUCCUCACUGUAUUCCCGUGUUUGUGUCUAGCUGCUGGAAUGGAUGUGGACAGGCAAUCGUCUUUUGUUUUCUUCCUGCCUCGGCUUGAAAACACCCUUCUAACUUACGUACGCGUGGGUCAACUGGGUCAGAAAUCUGAAUCUUGGUGUGUUUCGUGGCUUUGAUGACAGAGAUUCUGAUCCUUUGCAGCCCAGUUCAGGUCUUGAGUGUCAACCGCGCCAAAUCACUCUACUGGCGUGAUAUAUCAGCAGCGGAAACUUGCAAUUGUUUUUUUCGCAUAAAGAGCCUUCAGGUGGAAUGUUUUUCUGUCUGAGUUCGAGAGUUUCUGAGAGGUCUCUCUGUUUGUCGGAAAGCCGUGAAAACGUUCCACACAACAUAUCUGGGGGCCCCUCUUUCUCGAGGCUGGAGGGGCGGUUGCUUGCCGCAGAAGCUGCGAGAAAUCAUCGGGGCUGAGAAAUGUGCGAUACGCUAGAGCUGAAAAACGAGAGCUGAUGAACGCUUUUGUUCGGCGCGUGUGACCAUAACGCGAGUAAGCGCAACUCUCUUACCAUAUCCGCGAAUUUCUCCUGCAUGUGUGUUUCUGUGCCUUUGCCGCCGGCACGUUCUGUUUUAAGGGAGGCUGACCUCCGGAAAAGCGCCCGACCACAAGAGAAGGCUCUCUGAUGCGCAUACCGGUGACGUGAGGCAUAGAUCGCUUGUAGAAGCCCGGUAUAUCCCUCUUCCCCGAUGCGCAAAUCAAAUCAAUAAUCGUCCAGUUGAGUUACCCUCGGGUUGUGCCGUCUUCGAUCACCGCGAACACUGGAUUUCUGCAUAGUGUUUCCUUGCGCGGUAGCCGUAGGUGCCUGUCUACUUCAGUUCGGUAAGAAAGUGUGAGGCUGGUGGCAACGAGCACGAUGUAGCUCUCUUAUACAUUCUAGUUCUGGGGGAGCUUUCGUAAAUCGAGAGCUCAGUUCCAGUGGCUGCCAGAAGCGGUUUGCACAUUUGCCUUGAAGCAAUGUUCGUCUGUCCAAUACACGCAAACACGCACACACUUGUUCGUGCACAAGUGUGGAGAUCUUUUCGAAAGUCGGAGUUUCCGUUUAUCUAGUGGAUUCCUGUUGGUAAAAUUGCUCGCUGAUGGCAAAACCAGUUUCUCGAAACGGUUCUCCAGGACACACGGAAGCUGCGUCUUGCUUUGUUUCUGUCCCCUGGACGUGGCAGCCAAAAUCCACAUUUACGAUCUCAACUUCUCCAUCGUCUCGAAAGCAGGUGAACAGGUGUGUUGCCCAUCGGCUUUUUUGGAGAAGAUCGUGACAGAAGGGCCGUCAAAACGUCGAUUUUCCGGUCCUCUCCUCGUGAGUAAUUCGAUAGCGAGGCGUGGUUGAGAAAAGUCUAGUCCCACGCUCAGGAAGAGACUCACCAGAAACCGUUUUCGCAGUGGGAAGUCCUUCGAGGAGAAACUGCAGUGAAACAAACUCUCUGCUUAGAUCUAUUCCAAGCCACUUUCGGCUGUGGUCACGAAGCAGCUUUUUGACUCUCUCCAUUUGUAUCCAAACGUUUUUUGUACGCACUCAUUCUCAGUUCAGCUUGUGUAGAUUCAACAGCGAGCGCGAAAGAACCC